rnacentral:rRNA from 1 species
UACAGAGGUCUCAAGCGUUGUUCGGAUUCAUUGGGCGUAAAGGGUGCGUAGGCGGCGCGGUAAGUCGGGUGUGAAAUCUUGGAGCUUAACUCCGAAACUGCAUUCGAUACUGCCGUGCUUGAGGACUGGAGAGGAGACUGGAAUUUACGGUGUAGCGGUGAAAUGCGUAGAUAUCGUAAGGAAGACCAGUGGCGAAGGCGGGUCUCUGGACAGUUCCUGACACUGAAGCACGAAGGCCAGGGGAGCAAACGGG